CCGCCGUUAGCUCAUUGGACAGAGCGCUGGCUACUUAGGGCAGAGAGCGGGGUUAAAAUCCCCGACGGCGGUCCA
rnacentral:tRNA from 11 species